GGUCACCACCGUCACCACAACGUCUAUAGUCAUUUCUCUCAUCUGAACAACCAACAUCAAGCCGUAGAAAACUCAGAUCUGUAAGGAUCUUUGAAGAAAAUGAGAGGGAGUUGAAAAGUUACCGGAGAAGGAGACCGUCUGCCAUCAUCAUCGUCACAGCACCGUCUCCGGCGGGUGACCAGAACCGCCGCCGCCAUCGCCCUUCUCUGUCUCUUUCUUCAUCUCUCUGUCCUCCGAUUUCUUUCUCUUGCUGAUCUUCCUCUCUCAUCAUGGUUUUCAAGGAGUGAGUGUGGUAAAGGAAGAAGGUGGGUUGAAGGUGAUGAAGAGGGGAAGUUUAGGGAGGGAACUCAUGGUCGACUGAUGAAAGUGAAAGAGAUUUGUGUUAGGGUUUUUGUUUUUGUUCUUGUGAAGAUGUUUUAAGCAAGGAUCUAAAGCUUAUUUUUUAAGAUGAAAAAAGUUAACUUCAGAUCUGUUUAAAGAAAAAAAACAAACAGUCUUCGAGGCCUUAUGUCUGCCCGCCUGCAGACAUAGGCUCUUUGCAGAGGUUUUAAGCAAAAACAAACAGCACCUAAGUGUGAGAUUAGCUGAAACCCACGACCAGUUUUCAUACCAAUCGUCCUGCCUUCAAUUAGUCGCUUCAAUUCUCCCCUCCGUUUCCAUCCCACCCUCCUUAAGCUAUGGUUCAUGGUCAGAAAGAGAGAGAGAGCGACAAAUCGGAAGCGAUUGGAAGCAAGAUCGAUUUAGAAGCAGGCCCGACCAGAAGCUAGGUUUUAAGUAUUCCAUUCAGGUUUUCCUUGGUUGUUCAUUAUCAUGUGAUUUUAAUUGACCUCUGAAUACACCGAUUCCUUGAUUAGAAUUAUCUUAAUCCUUAUAGAACGUCUCCUCCGCAGCCACCUCUCUAAUCUAUGAUUUAUAGUUGUGGAAUUUUAUUUGCAUUUGUUUGAUUCUUGGUUUUGGUGUUUGAUUUUGUGUUUUCUCUGGUUUCAAUGCAUCAAACGAUGGCAAGAACAGAACAUCAACAACAAUCAUCAACCAUCUUAGCUAGAGAAGUAGAGCCUAAAGAUGCCAAGAUAGGGCAGGGCGGGGCGACGCAUGCAGACAUUUUGGAUUGGCCACAACAUAGUUUGGUUUUCAGGUAGUUGAUAAGCUUCAAUGGUAAUGGAGAUGGUGACACGGUAGGGAGUUAUUUUUUUGUGGUCCCUUUGUUCAAUGGAUUUUGACAAAGGUAUUUUUUAUAAUUUUUAUGAGUGUUCUUGGCCAUUUGUUUGCCAUCCUACGUAUAGAUAGCAUGAUUUUUAUAUAUGGAGUACAUUGGGCAUUUAAUCAUGAAAUAUAUGUGGAAUUAACUUAAGGUUUUAAUCUCAGUUUGCCCAGAUGCUUUUUUUUUCAUUUUCUUUAUUCAUUUCACUUGGCUAUGAGCUGAACAAAAAAUCUGGAAAAUGCAUUUUUUUCUUUUUGUUUAUGGAUUUGAGUCAUUUUGUUUGAACUUUCUUAAUCAGGUUGUCUCUGUUUUUGUUCACUCAUGAUAGUUGUUGAUCAUGACCGUGGGUUGCAUCAAGUACAGAAGGAGCCCUCUGUGUUUGGGAUUAGUUAUUUAAACUCUUGAUUGAUAGCUUGUUGAAUUCUUAAUAAGAGACCUGUUAUAUGUGUGAAGAUUAAAGCUAAAUAAUCAUUGACAGCUCAAGUUUUUAAAUAAUAUAUAUCAUUUCAAGCGUCAAGAAUAAUAAAGAACAACUAGGCCUGUCGCUGUGGCUGUGUUUCUUAAAGCUUUCGAAGCGACUUGGCGCGUGUUCGAGACUCCACUCUCACGUCCUUUGGGAACAAGGUGGAGAAGCUUUGGGAUCUUUCAAACAUUACUGUGAAUAAGCAAGCUGUGUUUGGUGACAACAGUUCUUUGGCUCCAGCAGGUGUUUGUAUUGGUAUGUUUUUCAUCACCCAUAUAUACAUGUACUUAAGUAAUGCUCACAGCGUAUUAUAGGAGAAGCUGAAUGAGGUUGGAUGACAAUGUAAAAUUCAAGAAAGAAAGCAUGUAAAAUAGGUCAAAUAAACAGAUAGAUGGGGUUCGAUGGAUUCGGCGGUCAAGCAAGUUAGAAAUGAGAUCAAGGGAUGGUCAGUUCCAAACACGGGUCCGAAUGGUGUUUUGGAGUAAGUUAGCAGUGCCUAAGAUACACUGCAUCCGGCUGCCAUGGCUUUAGCAACUAGAGGCCUGGCGUAUGGCGAUAGUACAUGCCCUAUGUGCGGUGUGGCAGACGAGACGGCUGACCAUCUAUUAGCCAACUGUAUGACUACCAACGCAGUUUGUUGGAUGGUGUGCGUUUGGGAUAAAUCCCGAUGCCCAGCAGCUUUGAAAUUGUGAAGACGUUACUCGAUCAUGCCCAUAAUGUUGGCAGAUCAACUAAGGAGAAAUAAUAACGGGAUGACCCACUUAGAUACUAAUAUGUUGGAAGAGUUAAGGAGCACUCAUACGGUUGGAUGGUGUAUAGGGCCAAAUGCCCCUUGCUUUGGAAAAUUGGACCCAGCUUUGAGUCUGUAGUGUCUAAUUAGCUUUGUGUAUUGGUUUUGCUUUGUUUGGGGUCUAUUGAAAUGGCUUAGCUGCUUGCUAAGUUUUGUCUUUGUUUGGUUAAUAAAGUUUCUCCUUUUGUUGGGCAAAAAAAAAAAAAAA